AUACAAGUUAUGAUGGAGACAGUAGCUAAAAAACUGAUUUUACAGCGAGUUAGGAAUAGUGUAAGCCUAAUAGUAAUCAAGUUUAGUGAAGAUCACUCCUGAACUGCAAACUGAAAUACAGUAAGAUUUGCCGUUUAACGAGCGUUAUAUCGUUACAAAAGUGGCUGUAACAGUCAUUAGGGUGGUACCACGGGAAACAACCUCUCGUCCCUUCA
rnacentral:ncRNA from 1 species